rnacentral:rRNA from 1 species
UACGAAGGGGGCUAGCGUUGUUCGGAAUUACUGGGCGUAAAGCGCACGUAGGCGGAUAUUUAAGUCAGGGGUGAAAUCCCAGAGCUCAACUCUGGAACUGCCUUUGAUACUGGGUAUCUAGAGUAUGGAAGAGGUGAGUGGAAUUCCGAGUGUAGAGGUGAAAUUCGUAGAUAUUCGGAGGAACACCAGUGGCGAAGGCGGCUCACUGGUCCAUUACUGACGCUGAGGUGGCGAAAGCGUGGGGAGCAAACAGG